rnacentral:rRNA from 1 species
GAUGAACGCUGGCGGCGUGCCUAAUACAUGCAAGUCGAGCGAACAGACGAGAGUGCUUGCACUCUCUGACGUUAGCGGCGGACGGGAGAGUAACACGUGGGUAACCUACCUAUAAGACUGGGAUAACUUCGGGAAACCGGAGCUAAUACCGGAUAAUAUUUAGCUUCGCAUGACGCAAUAGUGAAAGACGUUUGUGCUGUCUCUUAUAGAUGGACCCGCGGUGUAUUAGCUAGUUGGUGAGGUAACGGCUCACCAAGGCAACGAUACAUAGCCGACCUGAGAGGGUGAUCGGCCACACUGGGACUGAGACACGGCCCAGACUCCUACGGGAGGCAGCAGUAGGGAAUCUUCCGCAAUGGGCGAAAGUCUGACGGAGCAAUGCCGCGUGAGUGAAGAAGGUCUUCGGAUCGUAAAACUCUGUUAUAAGGGAAGAACAAGUGCGUUAGUAACUGAACGUGCCUUGACGGUACCUAACCAGAAAGCCACGGCUAACUACGUG